ACUCAAAGGAAUAGACGGGGGCCCGCACAAGCGGUGGAGCAUGUGGUUUAAUUCGACGCAACGCGCAGAACCUUACCAGGACUUGACAUGGGAGCGACGUAUCCAGAGAUGGGUAUUCCCGCGAGGGCGCUCCGCACAGGUGCUGCAUGGCUGUCGUCAGCUCGUGUCGUGAGAUGUUGGGUUAAGUCCCGCAACGAGCGCAACCCUCGCCUUCAGUUGCCAUCAGGUUUGGCUGGGCACUCUGAAGGAACUGCCGGUGACAAGCCGGAGGAAGGUGGGGAUGACGUCAAGUCCUCAUGGCCCUUAUGUCCUGGGCUACACACGUGCUACAAUGGCGGUGACAGUGGGAAGCCAGGUCGCGAGACCGAGCCGAUCUCCAAAAGCCGUCUCAGUUCGGAUCGCACUCUGCAACUCGGGUGCGUGAAGGUGGAAUCGCUAGUAAUCGUGGAUCAGCAUGCCACGGUGAAUACGUUCCCGGGCCUUGUACACACCGCCCGU
rnacentral:rRNA from 1 species